AGCAGCCGCGGUAAUUCCAGCUCCAAUAGCGUAUAUUAAAGUUGUUGCAGUUAAAAAGCUCGUAGUUGAAUUUCGGGAUCAAUUUGCUGGUCGUGCCUCUGGUACGUACUGGUAUUAUUGGUUUCUCCCUUCUGACGAACCAUGAUGUCAUUAAUUUGAUGUCGUGGAGAAUCAGGACUGUUACUUUGAAAAAUUAGAGUGUUUAAAGCAGGCAUUAGCUUGAAUACAUUAGCAUGGAAUAAUGAAAUAGGACGUUUGAUCCUAUUUUGUUGGUUUCUAGGAUUGACGUAAUGAUUAAUAGGGAUAGUUGGGGGCAUUAGUAUUCAAUUGUCAGAGGCGAAAUUCUUGGAUUUAUUGAAGACUAACUACUGCGAAAGCAUUUGCCAAGGAUGUUUUCAUUAAUCAAGAACGAAAGUUAGGGGAUCGAAGACGAUCAGAUACCGUCGUAGUCUUAACCAUAAACUAUGCCGACUAGGGAUCGGAUGAUGUUAAUUU
rnacentral:rRNA from 1 species